rnacentral:rRNA from 1 species
GACGUAGGGGGCGAGCGUUGUCCGGAAUCACUGGGCGUAAAGAGCUCGUAGGUGGUUUGUCGCGUUGUUCGUGAAAACUCACAGCUCAACUGUGGGCGUGCGGGCGAUACGGGCAGACUGGAGUACUGCAGGGGAGACUGGAAUUCCUGGUGUAGCGGUGGAAUGCGCAGAUAUCAGGAGGAACACCGGUGGCGAAGGCGGGUCUCUGGACAGUUCCUGACGCUGAGGCACGAAGGUCAGGGGAGCAAACGGG